AAGUCGUAACAAGGUUUCCGUAGGUGAACCUGCGGAAGGAUCAUUAUUGAAUUAGCAAGGGCUGUCUGCUGGCCCCUUCGGGGGCAUGUGCACGUCCGAGCCGUUUAAAUCAACACCUGUGAACUCACCGUAGGCCUUCGGGCUUAUGUAUCAUAAUAUACUCAGAUCAUAGAAUGUAUGUUUUGCCUUUAAAAAAGCAAUCAAAUACAACUUUCAACAACGGAUCUCUUGGCUCUC
rnacentral:misc_RNA from 1 species